rnacentral:rRNA from 1 species
AGAGUUUGAUCCUGGCUCAGGACGAACGCUGGCGGCGUGCUUAACACAUGCAAGUCGAACGGAGCACCCUUGAUUGAGGUCUCGGCCAAAUGAUAGGAAUGUUUAGUGGCGGACUGGUGAGUAACGCGUGAGGAACCUGCCUUUCAGAGGGGGAUAACAGUUGGAAACGACUGCUAAUACCGCAUGACGCAUUUUGAUCGCAUGGUCGAAAUGCCAAAGAUUUAUCGCUGAAAGAUGGCCUCGCGUCUGAUUAGAUAGUUGGCGGGGUAACGGCCCACCAAGUCGACGAUCAGUAGCCGGACUGAGAGGUUGACCGGCCACAUUGGGACUGAGAUACGGCCCAGACUCCUACGGGAGGCAGCAGUGGGGAAUAUUGGGCAAUGGGCGCAAGCCUGACCCAGCAACGCCGCGUGAAGGAAGAAGGCUUUCGGGUUGUAAACUUCUUUUAAGUGGGAAGAGUAGAAGACGGUACCACUUGAAUAAGCCACGGCUAACUACGUGCCAGCAGCCGCGGUAAUACGUAGGUGGCAAGCGUUGUCCGGAUUUACUGGGUGUAAAGGGCGUGCAGCCGGGCAUGCAAGUCAGAUGUGAAAUCUCAGGGCUUAACCCUGAAACUGCAUUUGAAACUGUAUGUCUUGAGUGCCGGAGAGGUAAUCGGAAUUCCUUGUGUAGCGGUGAAAUGCGUAGAUAUAAGGAAGAACACCAGUGGCGAAGGCGGAUUACUGGACGGUAACUGACGGUGAGGCGCGAAAGCGUGGGGAGCGAACAGGAUUAGAUACCCUGGUAGUCCACGCUGUAAACGAUGGAUACUAGGUGUGCGGGGACUGACCCCCUGCGUGCCGCAGUUAACACAAUAAGUAUCCCACCUGGGGAGUACGAUCGCAAGGUUGAAACUCAAAGGAAUUGACGGGGGCCCGCACAAGCGGAGGAACAUGUGGUUUAAUUCGAUGAUACGCGAGGAACCUUACCCGGGCUUGAAUUGCAGAGGAAGGAUUUGGAGACAAUGACGCCCUUCGGGGCCUCUGUGAAGGUGCUGCAUGGUUGUCGUCAGCUCGUGCCGUGAGGUGUCGGCUUAAGUGCCAUAACGAGCGCAACCCCUCUCCAUAGUUGCCAUCAGGUUAAGCUGGGCACUCUGUGGACACUGCCACCGUAAGGUGUGAGGAAGGUGGGGAUGACGUCAAAUCAGCACGGCCCUUACGUCCGGGGCUACACACGUGUUACAAUGGCAGGUACAGAGAGCCGGUCGUAUGCAAAUACGAUCCAAUCCUUAAAGCCUGUCUCAGUUCGGACUGGGGUCUGCAACCUGACCCCACGAAGCUGGAUUCGCUAGUAAUCGCGCAUCAGCCAUGGCGCGGUGAAUACGUUCCCGGGCCUUGUACACACCGCCCGUCAAGCCAUGAAAGCCGGGGGCGCCUAAAGUCCGUGACCGUAAGGAGCGGCCUAGGGCGAAACUGGUAAUUGGGGCUAAGUCGUAACAAGGUA